rnacentral:rRNA from 1 species
AGUGAACGCUGGCGGUAGGCCUAACACAUGCAAGUCGAACGGCAGCACAGUAAGAGCUUGCUCUUACGGGUGGCGAGUGGCGGACGGGUGAGGAAUACAUCGGAAUCUACUUUUUCGUGGGGGAUAACGUAGGGAAACUUACGCUAAUACCGCAUACGACCUACGGGUGAAAGCAGGGGAUCUUCGGACCUUGCGCGAUUGAUUGAGCCGAUGUCGGAUUAGCUAGUUGGCGGGGUAAAGGCCCACCAAGGCGACGAUCCGUAGCUGGUCUGAGAGGAUGAUCAGCCACACUGGAACUGAGACACGGUCCAGACUCCUACGGGAGGCAGCAGUGGGGAAUAUUGGACAAUGGGCGCAAGCCUGAUCCAGCCAUACCGCGUGAGUGAAGAAGGCCUUCGGGUUGUAAAGCCCUUUUGUUGGGAAAGAAAAGCAGCAGGUUAAUACCCCGCUGUUCUGACGGUACCCAAAGAAUAAGCCCCGGCUAACUUCGUG